UCUUUGUGGUUGAGGGGGGAUAGGAAAGAAAAGGACUAAUCAUAAAUAAAAUAUCUAUCUUUCAGAGGUUCACUAA